AUGCCUGUGUAUGGGCAGUAUACAUACUAAGAGAUACAGAGAGGUUAGCAUGGCCCCUGCACAAACAUAAGAUGCGAAUUAAUGAAGUGUUUUAUACGUUU
rnacentral:snRNA from 1 species